rnacentral:rRNA from 1 species
CCUACGGGUGGCAGCAGUGAGGAAUAUUGGUCAAUGGGCGGGAGCCUGAACCAGCCAAGUCGCGUGAGGGAAGACGGUCCUACGGAUUGUAAACCUCUUUUGCCGGGGAGCAACGGGGUCCUUGCGAGGGCCCGAUGAGAGUACCCGGAGAAAAAGCAUCGGCUAACUCCGUGCCAGCAGCCGCGGUAAUACGGAGGAUGCGAGCGUUAUCCAGAUUUAUUGGGUUUAAAGGGUGCGUAGGCGGAACAUUAAGUCAGCGGUAAAAUCGAGGGGCUCAACCCCUUAAGCCGUUGAAACUGGUGAUCUUGAGUGGGCGAGAAGUAUGCGGAAUGCGUGGUGUAGCGGUGAAAUGCAUAGAUAUCACGCAGAACUCCGAUUGCGAAGGCAGCAUACCGGCGCCCGACUGACGCUGAGGCACGAAAGCGUGGGGAUCGAACAGGAUUAGAUACCCCAGUAGUC